GAUUGAAGUUCAGAAAUCUCAGGACCACAAACGCAGAACGACACCGGAAACAGAAAAAGACAUUAAACAAAGAUCUAACUCGGUCUCCCCUGUGGAGAAAGCAAAGGAGACCCAGCAGAAAGAGAAGAAGCAGAGCAUCUAUCCAGCUGUGGCGGCCCUGCAGCUGUUCACUCUCUUCUGCUGUGGAGGGAAAGUCAAGCUGAAGAAAACUCGUCCCUCUCAGCACAGACAGAGUAAAAAGGACCAGGACGAAGAUAAUGCAUCUGAUACUGGCUCAGACUGGUCUGGAGGAGAUGUUACAACCAAAAAGGUCAAGGACAAGAGUAAUGGAAAGGUAGGAGG